AGAGUUUGAUCCUGGCUCAGGACGAACGCUGGCGGCGUGCUUAACACAUGCAAGUCGAACGAUGAUGCCCAGCUUGCUGGGUGGAUUAGUGGCGAACGGGUGAGUAACACGUGAGUAACCUGCCCCUGACUCUGGGAUAAGCGUUGGAAACGACGUCUAAUACUGGAUAUGACUACCGGCCGCAUGGUCUGGUGGUGGAAAGAUUUUUUGGUUGGGGAUGGACUCGCGGCCUAUCAGCUUGUUGGUGAGGUAAUGGCUCACCAAGGCGACGACGGGUAGCCGGCCUGAGAGGGUG
rnacentral:rRNA from 1 species